rnacentral:rRNA from 1 species
CUACGUGCCAGCAGCCGCGGUAAUACGUAGGUCCCGAGCGUUGUCCGGAUUUAUUGGGCGUAAAGCGAGCGCAGGCGGUUUGAUAAGUCUGAAGUUAAAGGCUGUGGCUCAACCAUAGUUCGCUUUGGAAACUGUCAAACUUGAGUGCAGAAGGGGAGAGUGGAAUUCCAUGUGUAGCGGUGAAAUGCGUAGAUAUAUGGAGGAACACCGGUGGCGAAAGCGGCUCUCCGGUCUGUAACUGACGCUGAGGCUCGAAAGCGUGGGGAGCGAACAGGAUUAGAUACCCUGGUAGUCCACGCCGUAAACGAUGAGUGCUAGGUGUUGGAUCCUUUCCGGGAUUCAGUGCCGCAGCUAACGCAUUAAGCACUCCGCCUGGGGAGUACGACCGCAAGGUUGAAACUCAAAGGAAUUGACGGGGGCCCGCACAAGCGGUGGAGCAUGUGGUUUAAUUCGAAGCAACGCGAAGAACCUUACCAGGUCUUGACAUCCCGAUGCUAUUUCUAGAGAUAGAAAGUU